CGAAGUAGUCGAAGUGGUCGCCAUUCGACAAACGAACACGUGGCAGCGGCCAUCUUUGUUCAUUUGAACAAGGUCAGCGGUAUGUGUAGCCAAAUCCAUGGAACUGAAAUCGGCUACACAUUUCAACGAACACCACUGACCCUUACCUUCUCCUGCACUGAGUUUUCAGCCCCAGAGACUAAGUCCCGUUCGAAGAUUCGAACGGACGUUCUAAUGGGACUCAUUUUUUCAGUGUGAAAUAG